UAUACNUGCAGUCGAGCGAGCUUGCCUAGAUGAUUUUAGUGCUUGCACUAAAUGAAACUAGAUACAAGCGAGCGGCGGACGGGUGAGUAACACGUGGGUAACCUGCCCAAGAGACUGGGAUAACACCUGGAAACAGAUGCUAAUACCGGAUAACAACACUAGACGCAUGUCUAGAGUUUGAAAGAUGGUUCUGCUAUCACUCUUGGAUGGACCUGCGGUGCAUUAGCUAGUUGGUAAGGUAACGGCUUACCAAGGCAAUGAUGCAUAGCCGAGUUGAGAGACUGAUCGGCCACAUUGGGACUGAGACACGGCCCAAACUCCUACGGGAGGCAGCAGUAGGGAAUCUUCCACAAUGGACGAAAGUCUGAUGGAGCAACGCCGCGUGAGUGAAGAAGGGUUUCGGCUCGUAAAGCUCUGUUGGUAGUGAAGAAAGAUAGAGGUAGUAACUGGCCUUUAUUUGACGGUAAUUACUUAGAAAGUCACGGCUAACUACGUGCCAGCA
rnacentral:rRNA from 1 species